UUUUUUAGCUCCAUUAGUUUAUUUUAAAAAAAAAAUUAAUGCCAAAAUUUUAUUGUGGGUGAUUGAUUGGUCUCUCAUGUAUUAAUUUUUUUAAUUUCAUCCCUAAUAUAUACAAUUGAGUUUUAUGUUGCCAUUUUCUAAUUACGGAUUUUUCUUUCUAACUUUUGUUAUUAUAAAAACGUUCUUGAAUUUUUUUUUGUCUUCGAUAUUUGUAAUAGUUCUAACUCGAGUAAUUGCAAUGGUGAUUAUUCCAUAAUGUACCAGCAAUGGGAGAACUUUAUCUAUUCGAAUCCAUGACCAAUAUCAAAGAAUUAAAAUUUUAAAGACCCCUUUUAUAAUAAAAAAACUUGAAAAGAAACAUUUGUAAUUAGAAAAGACCACAUAAAAUCUAAUUGGAUACACUAAGAACCAAAAUGAAAAAAUUAGUACAUUAAGGUUUAGAAUUGGCACAAGAUGAAUACUUUAGGUUAUUAUUAUAUGGGAUUGCAUAGGUUGCGAGAACAGAAAUGUGGAAAAGACCUAUAUUUAAUUUAUAAUAUUUUUUUUAUAGUUGAUGGGAUUUGAACUCUAGGGCCCCUGCCCAUUUAAUUUUUAAUUCUAUCAAAUAAAGGAUUUUUUUGUUGAAUUAUUAGUCCUUUUUACAAUAGAUUUCUAUUCAAAUUUUGAAAUAUCUAUAAUUGAGUUUUGUCUUUGUCACCGACUAGAAAACUUGGAGUCACGUUAGAUCCAUUUCCGCAGAGUAAACUCUGAAUAGCUGCCAAUUUAAUUUGUCUUAGGACAAUUUAACUAAAAAGACGCUUAUAGCAUUUUUAUAAUACAUACGGUAUAUACAAUAAAUUUUAGCAACAAAGAAUUAGUCAGUUACACAUUGAUAUGCUACCAACUUCAGGAUGGCAUCCAUGCUCGAUACGAUAUAUCCAAAGAAACUAUUAUUCAUUAUUCCAUUAGUCUAAGACUCUAAAUUGAUACAUACAUCGCAUAUAAAUAAUAAAGUAAAUCUCAUUUAAGUAUUGGACUUCAUAUAUUUAAAUCAAUGAGCUUGAGGAUGUAAAAUGUUCACUCACCUUUGUACUCAUUGUAUAAAUUACAGUCUAGUACCACGAGUACCCAAUGGGCAUGUUUGAUUAUCUGGACUAGGCCGGACUGGACUACGAGUUCAGUUCAGUUCAGUUCCUCGUUUGUUUUUCAACCCACUCCGGACUAAAGCGGAGCAAGCCCCACAAUAGUCUCCUCAUAUUAGACAAGAAGUCAUAGAGCGUUUCCAAGGGUUUUAUUAAUUUCCCAAGUAAUUCGAAGACUACUUGACCAGUCCGAAUGAUUAAAUAUGCCCAAUGGAUUUCUAAAGUAAAGGUAAUUCAUCAUUCAAUGUACAUCCAUCUUGACCUGAUUAUUAUAAUCUACUUAAAGUUCCACUUGUACAUCCAUCUUGACCUGAUUAUUAUAAUCUACUUAAAGUUCCACUAUUCCUAAUUAUAUUUUCUGGUUUUGUUACGGUUCCCUAGGCCUAAACAAAUCUAUUGCAUACCACAAAGGAAUUAACAAAGUUUUCUGAGUAUAGUACCAAAUCACAUAUAAAUAUCAACUCCUAUACGUGCCAUCUAAAAAUUUCAUUUUUAUUAAUAAAUUUUAUUUUUUUAUCAUUAUUAUAUAAUUUUUUUAAUAUAUACCUAAAUUCUUUAUGCUUACGGCAUAAACAUAAAGUUUCGUGUAUCAAAUUUUCUGUUGACACAUCAUUAAUUAGUUGACAAGAUGAAGAAAUCUAACCACUGUAGAUGAUGUGCCGUUUGAUAAUUGAAUAUUUGUAAACAUUGUGUUUAUGUUGAAAAUAUGGUGUGAAUGAAAUUUUAAAAUUGGCUGAAUUUAACAACUCUCAAAAGAGCUGUUAAGUAGCAUAAAAGACAGCCAUAAACAACCUCACAGAUUGGGGUUUAUUGAGCUAUAAACAACCCCUAAUGGCUGUUAUAAUGACAAGCAUAACUACCUUCAUCAUGAGAGUUAAUGACUGAGAGUUAUAAAGAUUGAAGUGACAGUUGUUUCCUAUAAAUUCUGAGGCUUUAUAUUGAAAACACACACCACCAACAAUAACAAUUUAGAAAAGUAUUUUGAGUUUUUAGAGAGGUAGGUAGAUGCUUUACCAUGUUCGGUAAGAUUGCUACGGAGGUGCUCUUAUAGUUCGCGGCGAAUCAAAAGUAGUACUUGGCCCAAUUUACUAUACUUGGCCCAAUUUAAUAAUUGUAUCUCUAAUUUUAAAUUUUAUACUUUAAUUUCUGUAUUUUGUUUAUAUAAUUUUAAUUUAUUAUAAAUGAAUAAAAUUAUUAUUUAAAAUUUUGUAUUUAUCGAAUCAUUUUCCCAACAGUUUACGCCGCGAACGUAAACUUAUAAAAUUUAAUCUCUACUUCAAUUACGUGGAAAAUGAAGAUUGAAGAAGAACAAAAAGGAAAGUAAGCAAAAAUGACGAAAAUACCCUCCAACCGUCGCACAAUACCCACAUCAUUGCCCU
rnacentral:lncRNA from 1 species